rnacentral:rRNA from 1 species
GACGAACGCUGGCGGCGUGGAUUAGGCACGCAAGUCGAACGGUAUCAUCCUUUCGGGGGUGAGAGAGUGGCGAACUGGUGAGUAACACGUAGGUUAUCUACCCUCAAGACGGGGACAACCCAGGGAAACUUGGGCUAAUACCGGAUGUGAGCAACUUUUUAGUUGUUUGAAAGGUGGCGUAAGCUGUCGCUUGGGGAUGAGCCUGCGUCCUAUUAGUUAGUUGGUGAGGUAACGGCUCACCUAGGCAAUGAUAGGUAGGCGGCCUUAACGGGGUGGUCGCCCACACUGGGAUUGAGAUACGGCCCAGACUCCUACGGGAGGCAGCAGUCGAGAAUAGUCUACAAUGGUCGGAAGACUGAUAGUGCGACGCCGCGUGAACGAUGAAUCCCUUCGGGGUGUAAAGUUCUUUUAUAUGUGAGCAGUGCUUCUUAUAUUAACAGUAUGGGGGAGAGAAGAUAUUAGCAUAUGAAUAAGCAACGGCUAACUCCGUGCCAGCAGCCGCGGUAAAACGU